AACGAACGCUGGCGGCAUGCCUAACACAUGCAAGUCGAACGAAGCCUUCGGGCUUAGUGGCGCACGGGUGCGUAACGCGUGGGAAUCUGCCCUUUGGUUCGGAAUAACAGUUGGAAACGACUGCUAAUACCGGAUGAUGACGAAAGUCCAAAGAUUUAUCGCCAGAGGAUGAGCCCGCGUAGGAUUAGCUAGUUGGUGUGGUAAAGGCGCACCAAGGCGACGAUCCUUAGCUGGUCUGAGAGGAUGAUCAGCCACACUGGGACUGAGACACGGCCCAGACUCCUACGGGAGGCAGCAGUGGGGAAUAUUGGACAAUGGGCGAAAGCCUGAUCCAGCAAUGCCGCGUGAGUGGUGAAGGCCCUAGGGUUGUAAAGCUCUUUUACCCGGGAUGAUAAUGACAGUACUGGGAGAAUAAGCCCCGGCUAACUCCGUGCCAGCCGCCGCCGUAA
rnacentral:rRNA from 1 species